rnacentral:lncRNA from 1 species
CUUAGUCUUUCCCAGGCUUACUCUCCCAAUAAAUGUGCUAGAGCUCUGCCAACUGCUUUGUGCCUGGGCCAGGAAGGAGGGACCGGAGCAGACACCAGUGUGGAGCUGGGGGAUGUUUACUGGUGUGGGGGGACCUGGGAACAUCACUGUCGUUCGUACAUCUCUCGUAGGAUCUUCAUGCUUUCUGAGUAACGAAGCUGGUUCCGAUGAGAGGCCUCCUUCCACCUGGGGAGGCAGAGGGGAGACUCAGCAGUUGCAAAGGGCCCUACGAGGGGCAAGCAGGCUGGGGGACGCUCACCUCUGGCGGAUGCGUUUCCAGCGCUGCAUGUUGCGAUAGAUGAGUGUGGAGGGUGAGGGCUCGGGCUCAGAGGGCUGCAUGGACAGACAGGCCAGGUUGAGUGGCCAUUCCUGAGCCCUACCGCAUGUGCCCCAUAACCCUGGGCCAGCCUGGCAUACUCACCUCAUCGUCAGGGGUGCCCUGCAUCUCAGGCUGCAGUGGAGAUGGGAUGCGGGAUCUGCAGGCAUCUCCGGGUGGCCCCGGGGGUGUGGGUGGCGGCAGCUUGUACACAUCACGACUCUUGCUGUUGGUUACCUCUGAGCCCUGGGGACACAAGGGCCCCAUGCCAGGCCCAAGAGAGUCAAAGCAGAGGGGCUGGGAAUCCACAUUCAUCCCUCCUGCCUUUCCCAGCAACAAAUGGCAUGAGGGGCUCGCUAAGGGACUCAGACAGGAGGCAUGUAUGAAGGGCAGACACCUCAACCAGCCAGCGGGUCAAGUGUGCCUGCCCCAGGGACCCCUGUCUUCUCCUAUCCAGCCCAGAGACUCCAUCUACACCUGUCAGCCCAGGGAGUCGCGUCUGCCUGCCUCAGGGAAUCCUGUCUAGGGGGUCACGUCUGUGCCACCUAGGAAGCUCUGUCCAUUUCUGACAGUCCUAUAUGUCUGAAGGGUCCUAUAUGUCUGUCCUGGGGACCCUUGUCUACCCCGCUGGGUCAGAUGGCUUAUAGACUCCCAUCCAUUCCUGCCCAGCCCCUGCUCCUCAAGGCCUGGUGGCCACUUCUGUCUGUACUAAGGACCCUUGUCUAGCCCCUCGGCUCUUGGGAACCCCUGAUCUUGGAGGUCCACAUCUAACUGUCCAGGGUAACCCUGUUCCCUGUCUCCCAGGCCAGGUGGUUACGUAUGUCUUCCCUAGGGACUCUGAUCCACACCCCAACCUAAGAGUGCACAUCUGUGUGCCUAGCCUGAUCCAGGAUUCACGUGAGGGACCUGUGUCUGUCUAUCCCACUAGCUUAGGGGCAGGAUCCUUUGAGCCUAUCCACCCACUGCCCUGGCACCAGGCUGCUGGGCUGGGACCCACUACCCAUCCCACCUCCUCAUCCUCAGGCAGCGGGGGCAGGGGUGAGCUGGGAGAGCAUUCACGCUCGCGCACAGAGGGGCUGUUGCGCAUCCAGGCGCGGCAGAUUGGGUACAGUGGCGUGUUCUCGCUGAACUGGGCCAAGUCCACGCUCCGGUCGAACAGCUUGAUCACAUAUGUGUCUGGGAAGGUGGGGAUGGGAGGUGUGUGAGCAUCCUUGCAUAGGCCCUUGGCUCCUUACCGACCCUCUAGGGCCACUGUCUACUCACUGGAUCGCUGCGGCCCUCCCUCAGCCAGCCCAUCAUCCAUCUCCCUCCUCUUCUUCCUCCGCUGGUGGGGGAAGCGGGCAGAUGGCCUGCGUAGGGAGAGGGAGUGUCAGGACUGGGGUAGGAGCUGGGAGCCUCUAGUCAGCUGGCUGGGACCCUGCCACCUUACCUUUUGCCAGUGGCUGCGAUGGAGCAGUCCCUGUGGGGAAAGACAGUUGACCCUCAGACAAACGCCUGUGCAAAACCCUGCAGAGGGCACCCUGGGGAUACUGGUAUCAAACCUGAGAUGCUCACAUGAACCCCACUUGCCUCUUGGGCCUUUUGUCCCACCCAUACCCAUGGGGGUCUAGGUGGCAACCACGGGGGGACCUAAGCUUCUCCUGCCACAGGGUCUUUGUACAGGUGGAGUGGUCCGGGCCACGAUGGAGGUAGCGCUGGGCUGAGCGGUCAGGGCUUGGAUAAGGAAAGAAGUUACCAACCACGAACUCUCAACUCCAAAUCCAAUCAGAAAAACUCACUUAUUGUGGGUGUCUGAGGGUGUUUUCCCAGCUUCCUCAUCCAGACGCUCCCUAGAGGCAGAAGAGAUCUCUCAGCUCAGGGUUCCAGGGCCCCAGAGAAGGAAGGCACCGAGCAGCCUCCCCAUUAAGCACCUUCCUCCCCAAGUCAGCCUGUGGGGUCCCACCCAAUCCACCCAGGAUCAGAGGGCCCAACCCACCAGGGUGCCCGGCCCUGUGACCCCACGCUGGCCUACCUGUCCAUGUGACUCUUCUCCAGCAGACACUGCAAGACAGCAUCCAGUUGGUUCCGGGCUUUGGCCAUCUCCAGCUCUGGGGCAAGAGAGGACCCAGCAGGAGUCAGCUCCCAGGCCCCAGCUAGGUGGGCAGCUGACUGGGCCAGGGAAGGGCGUGCGUGUCCUCUGCCCUGGCCAAUCUCAGAGCCAGGCCCAGGCAGCCUGAAAGGGUGCAACAGGCAGAGAUGGCUGGAGUGAUGCCCAGAGCUCUGAGUUCCAGAGCUGUCCCACGUGAUUGCUCUGUGACAGGAGACAACACUUCCUUCAGAAAACGGGAAACUUCCAUUUGUCACACGUCUUGGUCCAGAUAAAUCCCAGGAAGUAGCAUCGUGAUCUACACUUCUGAUGAGAAUACUGCAGCCCACAGUAGGAAAGUUAUAUUUUUGAAUUCACGACUACCAGUACAGGAUAACAGCCCCUAGAAAUGGAAGCACUAGGCCGAUCCUACCACUGCACUCCAGCCUGGCUGACAGAGCAAGACUCUGUCUCAAAAAAAAAAAAAAAAAAGA